AUCUAGCAGACGAGUCCCAAGUAGGACGAAAUGAGCAUCCUGUCUGGAU
rfam:Trichobilharzia regenti genome assembly, scaffold: TRE_scaffold0002843